rnacentral:piRNA from 1 species
UAAAAACUAAUCUUUGUUGAUGAACUA